rnacentral:rRNA from 1 species
AGAGUUUGAUCAUGGCUCAGAACGAACGCUGGCGGCAUGCCUAACACAUGCAAGUCGAACGCAAGGCUUCGGCCUUGAGUGGCGCACGGGUGAGUAGCGCGUGGGAACCUGCCCUUCAGUGGGGGAUAACCGAGGGAAACUUCGGCUAAUACCGCAUGCGCCCGGAGCAAUCCGGGGAAAGAUUUAUCGCCGAUGGAGGGGCCCGCGUCAGAUUAGGUAGUUGGUGGGGUAAUGGCCUACCAAGCCUACGAUCUGUAGCUGGUCUGAGAGGAUGAUCAGCCACACUGGGACUGAGAUACGGCCCAGACUCCUACGGGAGGCAGCAGUGGGGAAUAUUGGACAAUGGGGGCAACCCUGAUCCAGCAAUGCCGCGUGAGUGAUGAAGGCCUUAGGGUUGUAAAGCUCUUUUGGCGGGGACGAUGAUGACGGUACCCGCAGAAUAAGCCCCGGCUAACUUCGUGCCAGCAGCCGCGGUAAUACGAAGGGGGCGAGCGUUGUUCGGAAUUACUGGGCGUAAAGGGCGCGUAGGCGGCGACCCAAGUCAGAUGUGAAAGUCCUGGGCUUAACCUGGGGACUGCAUUUGAUACUGGGUUGCUUGAAUUCGGGAGAGGAUAGCGGAAUUCCCAGUGUAGAGGUGAAAUUCGUAGAUAUUGGGAAGAACACCGGUGGCGAAGGCGGCUAUCUGGACCGACAUUGACGCUGAGGCGCGAAAGCGUGGGGAGCAAACAGGAUUAGAUACCCUAGUAGUCC